rnacentral:rRNA from 1 species
GAUGAAUGCUGGCGGCGUGCCUAACACAUGCAAGUCGAGCGGCAGCGCGAGUAGUUUACUACUUGGCGGCGAGCGGCGGACGGCUGAGUAACGCGUGGGAACGUGCCCCAAAGUGAGGAAUAACUGCCCGAAAGGGUGGCUAAUACCGCAUAUGAUCUUCGGAUUAAAGUCUUCGGACGCUUUGGGAGCGGCCCGCGUCGGAUUAGGCUGUUGGUGAGGUAAUGGCUCACCAAGCCGACGAUCCGUAGCUGGUCUGAGAGGAUGAUCAGCCAGACUGGGACUGAGACACGGCCCAGACUCCUACGGGAGGCAGCAGUGAGGAAUCUUCCACAAUGGGCGAAAGCCUGAUGGAGCAACGCCGCGUGCAGGAUGAAGGCCUUCGGGUCGUAAACUGCUUUUAUGAGUGAAGAAUAUGACGGUAACUCAUGAAUAAGCACCGGCUAACUACGUGCCAGCCGCCGCAGUAA